rnacentral:rRNA from 1 species
GUGCUUGCACAUCGCUGACGAGUGGCGGACGGGUGAGUAAUGCUUGGGAACUUGCCUUUGCGAGGGGGAUAACAGUUGGAAACGACUGCUAAUACCGCAUAAUGUCUUCGGACCAAACGGGGCUUCGGCUCCGGCGCAGAGAGAGGCCCAAGUGAGAUUAGCUAGUUGGUGAGGUAAAGGCUCACCAAGGCGACGAUCUCUAGCUGUUCUGAGAGGAAGAUCAGCCACACUGGGACUGAGACACGGCCCAGACUCCUACGGGAGGCAGCAGUGGGGAAUAUUGCACAAUGGGGGAAACCCUGAUGCAGCCAUGCCGCGUGUGUGAAGAAGGCCUUCGGGUUGUAAAGCACUUUCAGUUGUGAGGAAAAGUUAGUAGUUAAUACCUGCUAGCCGUGACGUUAACAACAGAAGAAGCACCGGCUAACUCCGUGCCAGCAGCCGCGGUAAUACGGAGGGUGCGAGCGUUAAUCGGAAUUACUGGGCGUAAAGCGCACGCAGGCGGUUUGUUAAGCUAGAUGUGAAAGCCCCGGGCUCAACCUGGGAUGGUCAUUUAGAACUGGCAGACUAGAGUCUUGGAGAGGGGAGUGGAAUUCCAGGUGUAGCGGUGAAAUGCGUAGAUAUCUGGAGGAACAUCAGUGGCGAAGGCGACUCCCUGGCCAAAGACUGACGCUCAUGUGCGAAAGUGUGGGUAGCGAACAGGAUUAGAUACCCUGGUAGUCCACACCGUAAACGCUGUCUACUAGCUGUUUGUGAUUUUAAAUCGUGAGUAGCGAAGCU